UACAGAGGGUGCGAGCGUUAAUCGGAAUUACUGGGCGUAAAGCGUGCGUAGACGGCUAUCUAAGUCGGGUGUGAAAGCCCCGGGCUCAACCUGGGAAUUGCAUUCGAGACUGAAUAGCUAGGGUACGGUAGAGGGAAGCGGAAUUCCCGGUGUAGCGGUGAAAUGCGCAGAUAUCAGGAGGAACACCGGUGGCGAAGGCGGAUCUCUGGGCCUUACCUGACGCUGAGGCGCGAAAGCUAGGGGAGCGAACAGG
rnacentral:rRNA from 1 species